rnacentral:rRNA from 1 species
GGACUACUAGGGUAUCUAAUCCUGUUUGCUCCCCACGCUUUCGCGCCUGAGCGUCAGUACCGAGCCAGAUGGCCGCCUUCGCCACCGGUGUUCUUCCUAAUAUCUACGAAUUUCACCUCUACACUAGGAAUUCCGCCAUCCUCUCUCGGACUCGAGCGGUCCCGUUUCAAAGGCAAUUCCGGAGUUGAGCCCCGGGCUUUCACCUCUGACAAAGACCACCGCCUACGCGCGCUUUACGCCCAGUAAUUCCGAACAACGCUAGCCCCCUUCGUAUUACCGCGGCGGCUGGCAC